GCCUUUUGGUUGUAAAGCACUUUAAGCGAGGAGGAGGCUACCGAGAUUAAUACUCUUGGAUAGUGGACGUUACUCGCAGAAUAAGCACCGGCUAACUCUGUGCCAGCAGCCGCGGUAAUACAGAGGGUGCAAGCGUUAAUCGGAUUUACUGGGCGUAAAGCGCGCGUAGGUGGCCAAUUAAGUCAAAUGUGAAAUCCCCGAGCUUAACUUGGGAAUUGCAUUCGAUACUGGUUGGCUAGAGUAUGGGAGAGGAUGGUAGAAUUCCAGGUGUAGCGGUGAAAUGCGUAGAGAUCUGGAGGAAUACCGAUGGCGAAGGCAGCCAUCUGGCCUAAUACUGACACUGAGGUGCGAAAGCAUGGGGAGCAAACAGGAUUAGAUACCCUGGUAGUCCAUGCCGUAAACGAUGUCUACUAGCCGUUGGGGCCUUUGAGGCUUUAGUGGCGCAGCUAACGCGAUAAGUAGACCGCCUGGGGAGUACGGUCGCAAGACUAAAACUCAAAUGAAUUGACGGGGGCCCGCACAAGCGGUGGAGCAUGUGGUUUAAUUCGAUGCAACGCGAAGAACCUUACCUGGUCUUGACAUAGUAAGAACUUUCCAGAGAUGGAUUGGUGCCUUC
rnacentral:rRNA from 1 species